rnacentral:rRNA from 1 species
UAAGAUGUAAAUUUGAAAAGUUAGAGUAGUAUUAGUUAAGUUCUUGAAACUCAAAAAAUUUGGCGGUAUUUUAGACUAUUCAGAGGAACCUGUGAUGUAAUUGAUAAUCCACGAUGAACCUUACUUGAACUUGUUAUAUUUCAGUUUGUAUACCGCCGUUAUUUGAAAAUUUUAUAAGAAUAAUAAUUUUCAAGGAUUUUAAUGAUAAAAGUAAAUCAGGUCAAGGUGCAGCUUAUGUUUAAGUAUCCCAUGGGUUACAAUAAAUUUAUUUAUACGGAUUAAAAUAUGAAAUUAUUUUAUGAAGGUGGAUUUGAAAGUAAAUUUUUAUAGAUUAAAAAGUUGACUUUAGCUCUAAAAUAUGCACACAUCGCCCGUCGCUCUUGUUAAUAAUAUAAGAUAAGUCGUAACAUAGUAGAGGUACCGGAAGGUGUCUCUAGAAUGACAAUUUAAAGCUUAUUAAGUAAAGCAUUUCAUUUACACUGAAAAGAUUAUUGUGCAAGUCAAUAUAAAUUGAUAGUAUAUAAUUAUUAAUUUUGUUUUAUUUUUAUUAAUAUUAGAAAUAACUAUUGUUGUGUUUAAGUAUUUUAUAAAGAAAUAAUAAUUUUAAUUAUAGUGAAUUAGUAAUUUGAAUGAAUUUUGAAAUAAUUGAAAAAUAUAUAGUGAAUAAGAA